rnacentral:rRNA from 1 species
AUACGGAGGGGGCAAGCGUUGUUCGGAUUUACUGGGCGUAAAGGGCGCGUAGGCGGAGCAUCAAGUCAGGGGUGAAAGGCCCGGGCUCAACCCGGGAACUGCCUUUGAAACUGAUGAUCUCGAGUCCGGGAGAGGAUGGCGGAAUUCCCAGUGUAGAGGUGAAAUUCGUAGAUAUUGGGAAGAACACCAGUGGCGAAGGCGGCUAUCUGGCUCGGUACUGACGCUGAGGCGCGAAAGCGUGGGGAGCAAACAGGAUUAGAAACCCCAGUAGUCC